rnacentral:rRNA from 1 species
UCCCAGACUCCUACGGGAGGCAGCAGUGGGGAAUAUUGGACAAUGGGGGGAACCCUGAUCCAGCGACGCCGCGUGAGUGAAGAAGUAUUUCGGUAUGUAAAGCUCUAUCAGCAGGGAAGAAAGGAAUGACGGUACCUGACUAAGAAGCCCCGGCUAACUACGUGCCAGCAGCCGCGGUAAUACGUAGGGGGCAAGCGUUAUCCGGAAUCACUGGGUGUAAAGGGAGCGUAGACGGCUGUGCAAGCCUGAAGUGAAAGGCGGGGGCCCAACCCCUGGACUGCUUUGGGAACUGUACGGCUGGAGUGCAGGAGAGGUAAGUGGAAUUCCUAGUGUAGCGGUGAAAUGCGUAGAUAUUAGGAGGAACACCGGUGGCGAAGGCGGCUUACUGGACAGUGACUGACGUUGAGGCUCGAAAGCGUGGGGAGCGAACAGGAUUAGAUACCCGCGUAAA